GAUGAACGCUGGCGGCGUGCCUAAUACAUGCAAGUCGAGCGAACGGACGAGAAGCUUGCUUUUCUGAUGUUAGUGGCGGACGGGUGAGUAACACGUGGAUAACCUACCUAUAAGACUGGGAUAACUUCGGGAAACCGGAGCUAAUACCGGAUAAUAUUUUGAACCGCAUGGUUCAAAAGUGAAAGACGGUCUUGCUGUCACUUAUAGAUGGAUCCGCGCUGCAUUAGCUAGUUGGUAAGGUAACGGCUUACCAAGGCAACGAUGCAUAGCCGACCUGAGAGGGUGAUCGGCCACACUGGAACUGAGACACGGUCCAGACUCCUACGGGAGGCAGCAGUAGGGAAUCUUCCGCAAUGGGCGAAAGCCUGACGGAGCAACGCCGCGUGAGUGAUGAAGGUCUUCGGAUCGUAAAACUCUGUUAUUAGGGAAGAACAUAUGUGUAAGUAACUGUGCACAUCUUGACGGUACCUAAUCAGAAAGCCACGGCUAACUACGUGCCAGCAGCCGCGGUAAUACGUAGGUGGCAAGCGUUAUCCGGAAUUAUUGGGCGUAAAGCGCGCGUAGGCGGUUUUUUAAGUCUGAUGUGAAAGCCCACGGCUCAACCGUGGAGGGUCAUUGGAAACCGGAAAACUUGAGUGCAGAAGAGGAAAGUGGAAUUCCAUGUGUAGCGGUGAAAUGCGCAGAGAUGUGGAGGAACACCAGUGGCGAAGGCGACUUUCUGGUCUGUAACUGACGCUGAUGUGCGAAAGCGUGGGGAUCAAACAGGAUUAGAUACCCUGGUAGUCCACGCCGUAAACGAUGAGUGCUAAGUGUUAGGGGGUUUCCGCCCCUUAGUGCUGCAGCUAACGCAUUAAGCACUCCGCCUGGGGAGUACGACCGCAAGGUUGAAACUCAAAGGAAUUGACGGGGGCCCGCACAAGCGGUGGAGCAUGUGGUUUAAUUCGAAGCAACGCGAAGAACCUUACCAAAUCUUGACAUCCUUUGACAACUCUAGAGAUAGAGCCUUCCCCUUCGGGGGACAAAGUGACAGGUGGUGCAUGGUUGUCGUCAGCUCGUGUCGUGAGAUGUUGGGUUAAGUCCCGCAACGAGCGCAACCCUUAAGCUUAGUUGCCAUCAUUAAGUUGGGCACUCUAAGUUGACUGCCGGUGACAAACCGGAGGAAGGUGGGGAUGACGUCAAAUCAUCAUGCCCCUUAUGAUUUGGGCUACACACGUGCUACAAUGGACAAUACAAAGGGCAGCGAAACCGCGAGGUCAAGCAAAUCCCAUAAAGUUGUUCUCAGUUCGGAUUGUAGUCUGCAACUCGACUACAUGAAGCUGGAAUCGCUAGUAAUCGUAGAUCAGCAUGCUACGGUGAAUACGUUCCCGGGUCU
rnacentral:rRNA from 1 species